GGCCUACGGGGGGCAGCAGUGAGGAAUAUUGGUCAAUGGUCGGGAGACUGAACCAGCCAAGCCGCGUGAGGGAUGAAGGUACAGAGUAUCGUAAACCUCUUUUGUCAGGGAACAAAGGCGGGGACGUGUCCCCGGAUGAGUGUACCUGAAGAAAAAGCAUCGGCUAACUCCGUGCCAGCAGCCGCGGUAAUACGGAGGAUGCGAGCGUUAUCCGGAUUUAUUGGGUUUAAAGGGUGCGCAGGCGGACGCUUAAGUCAGCGGUAAAAUCGCGGGGCUCAACCUCGUCGAGCCGUUGAAACUGGGUG
rnacentral:rRNA from 1 species